UACCGGCAGUUCAAGUUGCAUCCCUUUUUAUUGGGUCUAAAACAUCCGUAGCUUGCCAAUUAAGUCUCUUGUGAAAUCUCGCGUCUCAAGCGCGAUGAAGUGCAGGAGAUACUGGUUGGCUAAAGAUCGGUAGACGUAAGGAGUACACCGGAGGUAGUGGUAAAAUACGUUAAUCUUCGGUGGACUAACAAUGAGCGAAGGCACCUUACGAGGACGAAUCUGACGGUGAGGGAUGAAGGCCAGGGGCGCAAAACGG
rnacentral:rRNA from 1 species